GGGGGCGUAAAGGUUUCGACAGGGAGUGUGAGCUUCGGCAAGCGGGCAGCGGCACUGCAGAACCGCUAUAAAAUCCGCAGACUUUAAAAUUAAACGACAACAAUAAAACUGUUGCCCUCGCUGCUUAAUUAGCGAGCGUUCCUGCUGAGAGUACCACGGCUUGGCAGGAGCGUCGAUUAGUGGUGAACGUGAACGGAAAUGAGCCUUGCUUUCCGUCAUGACUCAAAGGCUACCGAAACGCAGAGUCUGCCGACAGACGCUGUGACGGGGGAAUCUUAAAUUAUCGGCUACGCUCGUAGAAAACCGCUGUAAGUGCUUUUUGGACAGGGGUUCAAUUCCCCUCGCCUCCAC
rnacentral:tmRNA from 1 species